GUGCCAGCAGCCGCGGUAAUACGUAGGGCGCAAGCGUUAUCCGGAAUUAUUGGGCGUAAAGAGCUCGUAGGCGGUUUGUCGCGUCUGCCGUGAAAGUCCGGGGCUCAACUCCGGAUCUGCGGUGGGUACGGGCAGACUAGAGUGAUGUAGGGGAGACUGGAAUUCCUGGUGUAGCGGUGAAAUGCGCAGAUAUCAGGAGGAACACCGAUGGCGAAGGCAGGUCUCUGGGCAUUAACUGACGCUGAGGAGCGAAAGCAUGGGGAGCGAACAGGAUUAGAAACCCUUGUAGUCC
rnacentral:rRNA from 1 species